rnacentral:rRNA from 1 species
UACGUAGGGUGCGAGCGUUAAUCGGAAUUACUGGGCGUAAAGCGUGCGCAGGCGGUCGAUUUAGUCGUGUGUGAAAGCCCCCGGCUCAACUGGGGAGGGUCACGCGAUACUGAUCGACUCGAGGCAGGAGAGGGUAGUGGAAUUCCCGGUGUAGUGGUGAAAUGCGUAGAUAUCGGGAGGAACACCAGUGGCGAAGGCGACUACCUGGCCUGUUCUUGACGCUGAGGCGCGAAAGCUAGGGGAGCAAACGGG